UAGGGAGCAAGCGUUGUCCGGAAUUACUGGGUGUAAAGGGAGCGUAGGCGGGGAAACAAGUUGAAUGUGAAAUCCAUGGGCUCAACCCAUGGCUGCGUUCAAAACUGUAUCUCUUGAGUGAAGUAGAGGCAGGCGGAAUUCCUAGUGUAGCGGUGAAAUGCGUAGAUAUUAGGAGGAACACCAGUGGCGAAGGCGGCCUGCUGGGCUUUUACUGACGCUGAGGCUCGAAAGCGUGGGUAGCAAA
rnacentral:rRNA from 1 species